rnacentral:rRNA from 1 species
UACAGAGGUCCCAAGCGUUGUUCGGAUUUAUUGGGUUUAAAGGGUGCGUAGGUGGCUUUUUAAGUCAGGAGUGAAAGACGGUAGCUUAACUAUCGCAGUGCCCUUGAUACUGAAGAGCUUGAAUGAACUAGAGGUAGGCGGAAUGUGACAAGUAGCGGUGAAAUGCAUAGAUAUGUCACAGAACACCAAUUGCGAAGGCAGCUUACUAUGGUUUUAUUGACACUGAGGCACGAAAGCGUGGGGAUCAAACAGG